UGGCCGUGUCACGUUGAAACAUCGGUUCUCUUACGAUCACUGAAGUUAAGCAACGUCGAGCCUGGUUAAUAUUUAGAUGGGUGAACAGUUGAGAAUACCAGAUUCUGUA